AAUAUAUAAAAUUGUCGAUUGUUAAGUGGCCAUAUUGGUCAGCGAUAUAUUUCUGUGUUUAUAAAUUUUGAUCCAAGAUCGACACGAAGAUGAAGUUAUUGAUUGUAUAUGUUCUGUGUUUCGCAGCAGUGACGGUAGUGUUAUCUGAAGUAGAUGCACCGGUCUUUUUGCUAAGCGAAUACGAGACGUCUGUAAGUUGCGUCCUCAGAGAUGGGCAACCAAUACUAACCGUUAGAGCCAGUGGACCUAAUGCUGUGGAAUAUUCACUUACUACUGGACAAGGCCACGAUGAUAAAUUUGAAAUACAUCCCCGGACGGGAACCAUAUCUUCAAACGGCGAACGUAACUACUGUUCAAACACAGACAUUGAUUUUGGUUUGAAGGCCAUAGCUACUGACCGAAACACAAAAAAUUCAUCAACAGUUAAUGUCAAUGUAAUUCUCCGGCCACUGUCGGGGAAAAUCGUCAUUUCCGAGAACUCCAGCAGUAAAUGAAAAUCUGUUUUAAAUUGAAGAGUAGAAGUAUUUUUAUCCCUGCACUCUGCAAUAAUGAAAGAAAUGUCUGUUUAAAAACAA